UUGCAAUCUGUCCUAUAAAGAUCAUCGAUGCUCCUGGAUAAGAGACGUCCAGUAGAGGAAAAAGAGAUUUUGCAUGCGGGGACACAUUUAUACAGGUCCUAGUUCAGCGCUGGUUGGGUUCUACAUGUGGAAGAAGAGGAUGGGUGGCCGGAGGGGUUGGCUGUUAUCUUUGGUUAUCUAGCUGUAUGAGUGUUAUUCAUUCUUCAUAAAGCUAGAUAACCGAAAGUAACAAGAAUCCCAUUACACACCUGAAAGGCAUCACCCCCACGAGCUAUACUCCCUAUCUCCUUUUCCUACCAAGUCUCUCUCUGUCUCUCCCCUUCAAUCUCCGCAUCUUGCAAGAGCAAGCCACAAAAUGGCCUCCAUCAGUGCUGACAGUGAAGCGAUCCAACAAUCAUGCUCUCCAUGAUGCCAGGGAAAGGAAUUGAAGAAGGGCAGCUCGCUUGUGCGGCUGUCUUCCCACUCCGAGUCCUGCUGGCGUUGCUGUUCCCCUCCCCUUCGUCGCCCGCCUGCCCCCUUCCUCCCGUCACGAGAUGCGGUUCGCACAAAGCCACCAUCUUAGAGCAUGCGGGCAUUAAAUGGAAGUGAAAAAUAAGCAGGUUUUUAGAGAGGAGUUGAAGAUCACCAAAUCCAGCAAACAGAGGGUGAUGCUUCACAUACUGUACAGUAGCAGCGGCUGAUGGAGUCACACAUCUUUAUCACACAUGUGCCCCAACAUCAGAUUCAAACAGCACUUUAUAACUUUAACUGAAGCCAUUUUUAAAACAGUUGUAGAUUUUUUUUUUGAAGGGGACUUGUGUUUCUUCAAUGAAGUCAUUUGAUUCAUAGUUUUACUGCUUUGAAACUUGUAAGUUAUUGUGCGGGUAUGGAUCAAUGUACUUAACAAAUUGUGCAUUUGUAUUUCAAUUCUAAAAGAGUUGAGGUUUUAUUCAAACAGUUCUGCUGUGAAUUUGACAAAUAGUGUGAAAAAAACAAAAAUUAAAUAUAUUAAUGAAAAAAUUAAAUAUAUUAAUCUUUCAAUUGAAUAAGCUUAUAUGUUUUGGUAGACUGCAGAGUACAAUCUUUGGCAUAGUGCACUUUACAAAUUCAAACAAUCAAAUUUUUCAGAGUUUUUCUUUUAGUUUAAUAGUUUUCAACAUUAAACAUAAAGUAGCUGUUCUAGAAACUGUUAAUGUGUGUGUACCUGUACAUCCCCUAACUAAUUUAUAUUUAACAUGAUUUGUGAGAAAGAAUGUGUGAGGCUCUGUAGAUUCUGCAUGUAUGAAUGGGAGACCCACGGCAGCAGUGAACCAUACUGCACUCUUGAUUGGACAGCUCAGUGUGUUGAUGGACGGGAGAGCUGUUGUCUUUAAUUUCUAUGCAAUUGCGUUUGGUUUGCAAUCACCAGAAAGAGAAGGCAAAUCAGAGCAGUUAACACUUAAACUAUUAUAUUUGAGACACUCUUCCACAGCAGACUAUAUCUGGUGUAAAGUGAUCAGAUAUUUAAAUCCCAUUUAAAUUCUUUUUUUAGAUCUACCUUUAAAGUAUUUUAAAGGCCAUUAAAUGCUCUUUCUCUCUGUAUUUUUGUUACAAUCAUUUAUAGUUAAAAUAUUGAUAUGCAAUUGUUUUAAGAUUUUACUUUAAAUGUAGCAGUUGGUGCAAGUGUAUGGUGCAGUUUAUUUCAUAAACACUUCGUGUAAAUACAUUUUAAUUGUAGCAAAUCUAUUUUAGCAAAAUCAUAAUCUGUUUAAAUGUGACAGAUCAAAUGUGAAGACAAUGAGCUGAGCUUUUUGCUAUGCAAUUAUAUCUAUUUCAUUUGAAAUUUUGUAGAAUGUUAUUAUGUUCAGUGGUGUGUAGUGCUGUAUUAACAAUAAUUAAAAUAUACUAAUUUAAUUUGUAGUUAUUCUUCUUUCAUGUUUAUCUUUACUUUUCAGAUAAAUGUAAAUGUGCCUUUCUUUUUUGAGAGAUUUUCUCUAAUACCAAUGUGCCUUUGUAAUGAUGUCCUGUUAUGGGUAUUAAUAAAUGUUUACUUUGAAAACAA